rnacentral:rRNA from 1 species
UAAUGGCGACUGAAGCGGGAACAGCUCAAAUUUGAAAUCUCCGUCGCCUGCGACGGCGAAUUGUAGUUUCGAGGAGCACUUUCUAGGCGGGUCCGGCCCCGUCCAAGUUGCUUGGAACAGCACGUCAUAGAGGGUGACAACCCCGUCUGUGGCGGAGCCGGCCGCUCACGAUGCGCUUUCGACGAGUCGGGUUGUUUUGGGAAUGCAGCCCAAAAAUGGGUUGGUAAACUCCCAUCUAAAAGCUAAACACUGGCACGAGACCGAUAGCGAACAAAGUACCGUGAGGGAAAGAUGAAAAGCACUUUGAAAAGAGAGUUAAAAAAGUACGUGAAACCGUUAAAAGGGAAACGAACGGGGUUAGCAAUGCGCCGUGCGAGAUUCAGCCGGAGGCUGGGUCGGACGGGCGGUUUGUGGAUUCCAACGGACCGCGGCCGUCCGCCUCGACCUCCCCCACAGUCGCACUUUUCGCCGGCGCGCGUCAGCGUCGGUUUGGACUGGGUGUCAAAGUGGCCGGCAAGGGGGGUGGCCGCUCUCCGGCGGCGAUCUGUUAUAGGCCGGACUCGUGUAUGGGCCGGGCUCGACCGUGGAGCCGCGGCGCGCGCUCGUCCUCGGGGGCGGCCUGGGGUCCCGUCGCUUCGGUCGGCAGUCGACCGCGGUGGACUGCAUGCAGUGCGCCGCGACCGCUGUCGGUCGGGGUGGCGGUGACCUCACACCACGCGCCCAGGACGCUGUCGGUCACAUGGCCUCGUCCGACCCGUCUUGAAACAAGGACCAGAGGAGCAAACAUGCGCGCGAGUAUUGGAGUGACCGAAACUGCCAGGCGGAAUUGAAGUCAAGCCGGCCCCAGCCCCGCCGAGGUCAGAACCCCGUCGCGCGGGGCGGGGCGCAUCAUCG